rnacentral:rRNA from 1 species
GAUGAACGCUGGCGGCGUGCCUAAUACAUGCAAGUCGAGCGAACAGACGAGAGUGCUUGCACUCUCUGACGUUAGCGGCGGACGGGUGAGUAACACGUAGGUAACCUACCUAUAAGACUGGGAUAACUUCGGGAAACCGGAGCUAAUACCGGAUAAUAUUUAGCUUCGCAUGAAGCAAUAGUGAAAGACGGUUCUGCUGUCACUUAUAGAUGGACCCGCGGUGUAUUAGCUAGUUGGUGAGGUAACGGCUCACCAAGGCAACGAUACGUAGCCGACCUGAGAGGGUGAUCGGCCACAAUGAGACUUAGACACGGACCAGACUCCUACGGAAGGCAGCAGUAGGGAAUCGUCCGCAAUGGACGGAAGUCUGACGGAGCAAUGCCGCGUGAGUGAAGAAGGUUUUCGGAUCGUAAAACUCUGUUGUAAGGGAAGAACAAGUACGUUAGUAACUGAACGUACAUUGACGGUACCUUCCCAGAAAGCCACGGCUAACUACGUG